GUAGUGGCGAUAGCGGGUUUCCUCUCAAAAUAUGUGUGGUCCUUAACCAUAUGUCUGACGCCAUAUAACCGUAAAUAAAAUGUGUUGAGUGCGUCGUUAAAUAAACCAUUUCUUUCUUUCAUUACAUUUAAAGCAUGUGUUAAGAUUGUGGACUUUUUUGGUCACCUAAACACUACAUUCUUUAUAUUUACUAGUUUUAUUGACAUAAUAUUUAUAAAGGAAGGUGAACUUUCAAUAUCUCAUGUUAAUCACAGCAUGAAUGGUGGACACAUCUUCCAUUCAAUGCUCAAAACUGACACGGAUUAAGAAACAAAUGCCAUUCAAAAUGUAUAAUUUGCUUUCUGAUAAUUUUCACAAGCAACUUUUGCUAUUCAUUUUAAAAUAUUGUAGAACUAUUCAAAACUAGUUGCAAUUGACAUUAGAACGCAGGCAUUGAAUUUUGAGGUUUGUUUUUAGGAUUCUGCCAGCAUCCUAAAUAUAAUUUAAUAUAGAUAUUCUGAGGUUCUGUCUCAUAAUCUCAUACACUUCCGACCAAAGCUGGGAUUUGCGGAAUAACAAAAUGAUGUUAAUGACAUGUUAUUAUUAUUAUUAUUAAAAUUAGAUGAAAAGAAAAUGAGAGUAAAGUUUAUGCAAAUCGAAUUGCAGCUCAGCUUCUACCAUUUGCUUCAAGAUUAAAAUAUUAGAAGCAAAUAUCGCUUGCCAUUGCUAUUUCAAAUCUUUCUUUUCUCUUUGGAAGCUUUAGUUUGCUUCAUAAGCAUGUCAAGGCCUGAUUAAAAUAUGGAACAGUAGCCUUGGCCUUGGGUUGCAAAGUUUCUUAAUUGUACUUCCUUGUGGUAUUUGUUUCAUUUCCUCAAGGUAAAUUAAUGAAAUAAAUAAUAUAUUCUGUAAUAAUUAUUGUACCUAUUGAAUCCACACACCUACCUCUUGAGAAAAUAAAACCAGAACACUUAGCUUAAAAAGUACAAAAGUUGAACAUGUGGAUACCAUAUACAUGUAGGUUUGUCUGUUCUCUGGUAUUUUUAGUAGUUGAAAACCUCAGAAAUUAUGGUGUGUUUUGUUAGAAUUAUGCAGUGAGAAAUUUCAAUGACAUACCAGUGGAACAGAUUGACUGGUCAAUCUUAUGGUAUUAUUUUAUGUCUAAAGUCUGGGCUGAAUUGGCCAUACAAGGCAUGUUAAAAUAUCCCACUGCCAUUCCUUUUUCUUUUUUUUUCUUUUUUUCUUUUCUUUUUUAAUUAUUUACUAUGGGAAUGUGGUAAAUUAUUGGUGAUUAUUUGUGUUACAAACACUGAUCACAAACUGAUUUGGACAAAACUGUUGUUGAGAAAUUGACUGAGCCUGGCACAUUAAGUUGGGCAGAAUGAUGUAUUUGAUAAUGUACACUUUACCUUAGUGGAAUGUAAGACACAUUUUUAUAAGAUUGUUGCAUGGAAAGGGAAGAAUGCAUGUGUGAAUGAACAGUACGUGUGGUACUUUCGUGUGGAAGGAGAGCCAAUGUGUAAUAUAUGUGUAUCAUUAUUUUUAAGUUGUCUCAGGUUCAGACUAGACGUGAGCUGUUGUACAGUUUUUAUUCUCUCCCCUUCCAUCUUGUAUCCGUGACAUACACAUACAUACAUACAUACAUACAUACUUGUUUUGAUGGUAUAUUUUUGUCUAGAUUGUACAAAAUUGAAAAAAAUAUGUACAUUACAUUUUGAAAAAUAAAUUAUGAAUUCAUUUGAAACAUCGUUUCAGUUUUGUAUUUAAAAUGAAACUGUCUGUAGCAGUGAAUGAAACAGCCUGAAGACAAAGUGUUACCCAUUUGUGUGUAAAUUUAUGGUACAAUUUUUAAAAUAUCUUAAAAUAUAGGCUACUAUUGGACAAUUUCAAAGUUGCAAAAUGGUGACUUCCUGCCAAAAUUAUUUCAGUUCUGGCCCAGUGCUUAUAAAUCUUAGUCUAGACUUUAACAUCAUGGCAACGCCAUUCAAAUAGCAUUAUGUUAAAGUCUGGACUUGGUCUAGACUAAGUUUUAUAAGCACAGUCCUGCUGUGCAAUGCAAGCAUUAUACCUUCAAAAAUUACAACCAAAUAAUUUGCCAGUAGAUUUUUUUUUUUUUUAAUCCUUUGUGCACAGACAGAAUAGUUGAGGUAAAUAAACAAAUUUACUGUCUCUUAUGAAUCUCCUAUAUCUCUGAUGGCCCUAUUCAGUUAAAGUGACGGAUUUCAUAAGAUUUGUUUGAUGUGUUUGAUUGAUGACAAGUACUGGAGCGUUGCCCUCUUUGGAGCCGUCACAAACGGAUUGUUUGGCAAGUUACACAAGAUGGCUACCCCAGCUGUCACCCCAGCCACACCUAGUAACACCCGUGACAACGUCAUCUCAGGCAGGUACUGUCCUGAAUGGUUGAAUGCAAACAGUUAACAGCAGGAUAUAGUGGGGAACACGUCUCAGGAACACUGGGUUCACCUUGGAAAGAAGUUUGGAUUUGCCAAAUUCAUAUAUAUUAUGUAGAGUAUUUUCUUGAAAACCAUUAAAAAGUGGCUCAUUAAAAAAAAAAAAAUGACCAGGGAUAGGAUGAGCCUUGGAAUCACUUCAGCAUGAUUCGGUAGACCUACCUCUUUCUGAUGAACAAAGUCAGCAAAAAAUUGAAAUAAAUAAUUUCAAAGAA